GACGUAAAAGAUUUUGACUUAGGAAGGAAAUGCUUGGCUUUUGUAACAGUAACGAUGAUGACGAUGAUUAUCUCUAUCUGGACAGCAACGAAAGAAAAACGGAAUACUGAGGGAAAAGGGAAAACGGGCAAACACGAUGACGUCGGCGCUUUUGCAACAUUCCAAGUUCUCAUAAUUUAAGAAAAUAAAUUUCCUCUUACGUCACAAAAGAAGACUAAGAAUGAUGAUAAAUAGAGAUGUAGAGAUAAUCGAUUUAAAGGUCUAUAAGGCAGAGAAGAGAUAAAUAAAAGUAAGGAGAAAGAGGUAGAGGAUGAAUUAAAAUACCGAGAGAGGGAGCAAGAGUUUAAAUGAAAAUUAU